UCCAUAGUAGCUCAGAUGGUAAAGAAUCUGCCUGUAAUGCAGGAGACCCAGGUUCAAUCCCUGGGUCAGGAA
rnacentral:tRNA from 1 species